rnacentral:rRNA from 1 species
AUUGAACGCUAGCGGGAUGCUUUACACAUGCAAGUCGAACGAGUGGCGGACGGGUGAGUAAUAUAUCGGAACGUGCCCAGUAGAGGAGGUUAACUACUCGAAAGAGUUGCUACUACCGCCUUGUUUUGGAUCGGCCGAUAUCGGAUUAGCUAGUGGGUGGGGUAAAGGCACACCAAGGCCACGAUCCGUAGCUGGUUUGAGAGGAGGACCAGCCACACUGGGACUGAGACACGGUCCAGACUCCUACGGGAGGCAGCAGUGGGGAAUUUUGGACAAUGGGCGCAACCCUGAUCCAGCCAUCCCGCGUGUAUGAGAAGGCCUUCGGGUUGUAAAGUACUUUUGGCAGAGAAGCGGUACCUGCAGAAGAAGCACCGGCUAACUACGUGCCAGCAGCCGCGGUAAUAC